rnacentral:rRNA from 1 species
CCUACGGGAGGCAGCAGUGGGGAAUAUUGCACAAUGGGGGAAACCCUGAUGCAGCGACGCCGCGUGAGUGAAGAAGUAUUUCGGUAUGUAAAGCUCUAUCAGCAGGGAAGAAAAUGACGGUACCUGAUUAAGAAGCCCCGGCUAACUACGUGCCAGCAGCCGCGGUAAUACGUAGGGGGCAAGCGUUAUCCGGAUUUACUGGGUGUAAAGGGAGCGUAGACGGCAGCACAAGUCUGGAGUGAAAUGCCGGGGCUUAACCCCGGAACUGCUUUGGAAACUGUGCAGCUUGAGUGCAGGAGAGGUAAGUGGAAUUCCUAGUGUAGCGGUGAAAUGCGUAGAUAUUAGGAGGAACACCAGUGGCGAAGGCGGCUUACUGGACUGUAACUGACGUUGAGGCUCGAAAGCGUGGGGAGCAAACAGGAUUAGAUACCCCGGUAGUC